rnacentral:rRNA from 11 species
CCCUGGUAGUCCACGCCGUAAACUAUGAGAGCUAGCCGUUGGGUGGUUUACCACUCAGUGGCGCAGCUAACGCAUUAAGCUCUCCGCCUGGGGAGUACGGUCGCAAGAUUAAAACUCAAAGAAAUUGACGGGGGCCCGCACAAGCAGUGGAGCAUGUGGUUUAAUUCGACGCAACGCGAAGAACCUUACCUGGCCUUGACAUGCAGAGAACUUUCCAGAGAUGGAUUGGUGCCUUCGGGAACUCUGACACAGGUGCUGCAUGGCCGUCGUCAGCUCGUGUCGUGAGAUGUUGGGUUAAGUC